AUGCAAGAUCAUGGCGUUAUUGCCGACGAGCAGGACAAGGUUGUCCUUUUUUAUCCAACCCAAGAUGUUUCAGUGGGAGGUAGAGGCAGAGAGAUGGAUGCGAGUUUCAGUGUUUCUCUGGGCGCCAUGAGACCCCUUCUUAAGAAGCUUGACAUGAUGCUAGGUCCUCAUGGAUGCAAGUUGACCAAGGGGGUCAAUGAUAGGUGUCAGCUCCUCAAAGAUGAACUUGAAGAAAUAGCCACAUACCUUGAAGAUCUGUUAAAGGUGGAGGACCCUCCCCUGGCGGCCAAGUGCUGGAUGAAAGAGGCACAUGAGUUAUCUUAUGACAUCCUAGAUUGUAUUGACAACUUUGUGCCCCCUGAUCAGUCUCUUGGCUACAAAUUUGACCAUAACAUGACUCAUGUUAAGAUUCCCAAGAGGCUCAAGUGGCAGAAACAGAUUGAAUAUGCAGCUCCUGAUGUGUCAGGACAUGUUAUCUCCAAAACCAUCCGUGUUGAUGUAACUUGUGCUCCCAAGAGGCUCAAGUGGUACCAGCAGAUCGUUGAAAAGGUAUCAGAAUUUAGGAUUUAUGCCCAGGAGGUGGUUCGACGGUACGACAGAUACCAGGUCCACUGUUGUAGCACCUCGGUGGCAAGUAGAUUUUCGGCCAUUGGGCCUAUGAUGCCAAUGCCGCCACCGCCUUGUGAGAAAACUUGUUCCGGCCUAGUAAUUGAUGGUCGGAUGAGUAAGUUUAUCAACUCCCAGCUGGCUAAUGAUGAGAAUCGGCAGCUCAGGGUGGUGUCUAUUCACGGAUCUGGAUGUCUUGGUAAAACAAUGCUUGCCAAAGUGUUGUAUAAUAAAUUGGGGAGGCAAUUCCAUUGUCGGGCUUUCAUCCGGGUGUCCAAAAAGCCUGAUAUGAAAAGACUUUUCUGCGACAUGCUCUCACAAAUCCAGCGAAAGCAUCCCCAAGCAAGCGAAGACGCUUCUGAUGAACUUCACAUUACUACUGAAAAUAUCAGGAAUUAUCUACAUGCCAAGAGGUACCUAAUCGUUGUUGAUGAUUUAUGGGAUACAUCAGCAUGGGAUUUUAUUAAUCAGCUUUUGCCCAAGUGUAUUAAAGGAAGCAGAAUUAUAACAACUACACAGAUUGAAGAUGUUGCAUUAGCAUGUUGCUGCGAUGACCCAGAACAAGUUUUUGAGAUGAAACCUUUGGAUGAUGAUCACUCAAGGAAGCUAUUCUUUGGCAGGAUUUUUGGCUCUGAAAGUGACUGUCCUGAAGAAUUCAAACAAGUUUCAAGCCAAAUUGUAGAAAUAUGUGGUGGUUUGCCGCUAGCAACUAUCAGCAUAGCUAGUCUGUUAGCAAACCAGCCUUCCGUUUCAAUGGAAUUAUUCACACACAUACAUGAUUCGUUUAUCUCUCUUUUGUCAUCAAAUUUAACUUCAGAAAGAACGACACAAGUACUGAACCUCAGCUACAACAGCCUUCCUUAUUACCUAAAGACAUGCCUGCUCCAUCUUAGUAUGUAUCCAGAGGGCUCCAUAAUCUUCAAACAUGACCUGGUCAGGCAAUGGAUGGCUGAAGGGUUUCUUGCUGCAAGUGAAGGGAAAAACAUGGAGGAAGUUGCAGGAUUGUAUUUCGAUGAACUUGUUGAUAGAAGAUUCAUCCAACCUAUGUCUAUCAACUUCAACAAUGAGGUGGUGUCCUGCACAGUUCAUGCCGUGGUGCAUGAUCUUAUUGCGCACAAGUCUGCUGAAGAGAAUUUCCUUGUGAUACUAGAUUACAAUCGAAAGAAUUUGACACUUUCUCAUAAGGUCCGUCGACUAUCGCUCCAACUUGGUGAUGCAAAAUAUGCCAAGAUACCAGAAAACAUGAGAAAGUCACAAGUACGUUCACUUGGAGUUUUUGGACUAUCAGAGUGUAUGCCUUGCAUUGGAGAGUUCAAGCUUGUUCGUGUUCUGAACCUUCAUCUAUCUAGCCAUCAUAAUGGAGACCAAGACCUGGCUAUAGACCUCACUGGGAUAUCGGAACUGUUCCAUCUUAUAUAUCUGAAGAUUGUAUGUGAUGUCUGCAUAAAAUUGCCAGGCUGUAUGAGAGGGCUGCAAUGUUUGGAGACACUGGAUGUUAUGGAUACACCAAGAGGCACUCAUGUUCCCUGGGAUAUUAUAUAUCUCCCACACUUGUUGCACCUCAGUCUUCCUCUUGAUACAUAUCUUCUGGAUUGGGUCGUCGGUAUUCGGACCCUUGGCAUGCUGAACCACCUGGAGGAUCUUUAUAUUCCUACACCUCCUUCUUCUGACCAUGACCAUGUCAAGAGAAGCAUGGGAGCUCUGGGUACCUUAAUCGGACGACAUGGCAGCCUGAAAACUGUAAAACUGGUGGCUCACAGAUCCUCGGUUAAGUAUGAUGACGCUUCAAAAGCAACCAUUAACUGGUUUAACGUAGCACCUCCCGCGAAUCUCCAGAGAUUUGAAUGCUCUCCACACAGCCGCAUCAUAUUUGAUGAAAUCCCAUGGGGGAAGAGGCGACUUGGCCACCUGUGCAUUCUGAAGAUUGAAGUGAGGGAACUGCUAGUAAAUGAUGUUGAUAUUCUUAGAGGGAUGCCUGCCCUCACUGCUCUGUCAUUGUAUGUGGAGAUGGCGCCUAGCGUGAAGAUCAUCUUUGGCAUGGCUGUAGGAUUCACAGCUCUCAAGUACUUCAAGCUGAAGUUCGCAAGUGGAAUAGCUUGGCUAAAAUUUGAGGCGGACGCAAUGCCUAAUCUCUGGAAGCUCAAGCUCGUUUUCAAUUACAUCCCCCGAAUGGACCAACGACUUAAUCUUUUUUCGAAGCCUGACCAGUGGAAACAAUAUCGACAUGGUACUGCAUUAAUCAGCAUCAAUCAUAUGACAGGCCUUAGAGAAGUCUCCGCAAAAUUUGGAGGUGCAGCUGCUGAUCUGCAGUAUGUCUCGAGGAUCGGCGUAGUUAUUAAUCAUCCGGGCAAUCCUGUAAUCAGCGUGCAAUUAGUGGAUUCCGGUUCCGAUGGUGAUAAAAGGAUAUCAUCAGAGUCCUCUUCAGGCUUGCAUCCUCCAGGUGCAGAUGGUGGAGAGCAACAGGAUGUGGUCUCGUGGAGCAAUACCAUUGGUGUGAUAGGCCGGGAACUCUUCAUCUAUUGCCUCCAUCGUAUGUCCAGGUGGGACUAUGGCUCCAUCGCCUCCCUGAACCGCGACUUCAAUUCGGUGGUUCGCAACGGGGAGAUCUACCGCCUGCGUCGGAAGAAUGGGGUCGCAGAGCACUGGCUCUACCUCUCUUGCAGUGAUCCCCACGAGUGGGAGGCUUAUGACCCGUCCACUGGGCGCUGGAUCCAAGUGCCCAAGAUGCCACCGGCUCAAAGCAUCCUCUGGGAGUCGCUUGCUGUAGGAACUGAGUUGCUGGUUUUUGGGAACGAGGGGGUUGCCUUGAGAUAUAGCAUCCUUACCAAUUCAUGGACAUGGCUGGCUGAUGCGAUGUACCCCCCGCGGUACUUGUUUGGGUCAGCAAGUGCCGGUGAAAAGGCGUAUGUCGCGGGAGGCAAGGUUUCUUACGUUAGUUACUUGAGCUCCGCAGAGAUGUAUGACUCGGAGGCACAUACUUGGACACCCCUUCCCAACAUGAAUAGGGCUAGGCACAAAUGCUCUGGUGCGUUCAUGGAUGGCAAGUUCUAUGUGAUCGGUGGUGUUACCCGUAGCCGCGAGCUCUUGACAUGCGGUGAGGAGUAUGACCUGAACCGGCGGUCAUGGAGGGUCAUCGACAAUAUGUCUCAGGGGCUCAACAGUACAGCCAUUGGUGCUCCUCCGCUCAUUGCAGUUGUGAACAAUGAGCUUUAUGGCGCUGAUUACAGUGUGAAUAAUGAUCUGAAGCAGUAUGAUAAGCUGGACAACAAGUGGAUCACUCUUGGAAAAUUGCCUGUACUGUCUAAGGACAAAGAUGGCUGGGACAUGGGAUUCCGAGCAUGUGGUGACCGGCUGAUUGUAAUUGGGUCUCCAAACAAUUCUAGUGAUGAGAAGGCGGUUGAGCUUCAUUCAUGGACCCCGGAUGAGCAACCGCCUUUGUGGAAUUUGUUUGCCACACGCCCAUACGGGGGCGACCAGAUUUUGUGCACCGUCAUGGGUUGCUGA
rnacentral:rRNA from 1 species